UGGGGAAUAUUGGACAAUGGGCGAAAGCCUGAUCCAGCCAUGCCGCGUGUGUGAAGAAGGUCUUCGGAUUGUAAAGCACUUUAAGUUGGGAGGAAGGGCAUUAACCUAAUACGUUAGUGUUUUGACGUUACCGACAGAAUAAGCACCGGCUAACUCUGUGCCAGCAGCCGCGGUAAUACAGAGGGUGCAAGCGUUAAUCGGAAUUACUGGGCGUAAAGCGCGCGUAGGUGGUGUGUUAAGUUGGAUGUGAAAGCCCCGGGCUCAACCUGGGAACUGCAUUCAAAACUGACUGACUAGAGUAUGGUAGAGGGUGGUGGAAUUUCCUGUGUAGCGGUGAAAUGCGUAGAUAUAGGAAGGAACACCAGUGGCGAAGGCGACCACCUGGACUAAUACUGACACUGAGGUGCGAAAGCGUGGGGAGCAAACA
rnacentral:rRNA from 1 species